GACGAACGCUGGCGGCGUGCUUAACACAUGCAAGUCGAACGGAAAGGCCCUGCUUUUGUGGGGUGCUCGAGUGGCGAACGGGUGAGUAACACGUGAGUAACCUGUCCUUGACUUUGGGAUAACUUCAGGAAACUGGGGCUAAUACCGGAUAGGAGCUCCUGCUGCAUGGUGGGGGUUGGAAAGUUUCGGCGGUUGGGGAUGGACUGGCGGCUGAUCAGCUUGGUGGUGGGGUAGUGGAUUACCAAGGCUUUGACGGGUAGACGGGCUGAGAGGGGGACCGGCCCAAUUGGAACUGAGAUGCGGCCCGGACUCAUACCGGAGGGAGGAGUGGGGAAUGGUGCACAAUGGGAGGAGGGCAAGUGCAACAACGCCGCGUGGGGGGUAACAGGCAUCGGGUAGUAAACCGCAUUCGUCUGUGACGAAGCGUGAAUGACGGUAAUGGGUGAAGAAGCACCGGCUAACUACGUG
rnacentral:rRNA from 1 species